rnacentral:lncRNA from 1 species
UCAAUAGCGAUUUUGAUUUUUUGAUUUUAAUUUGAUUUGGUGAUGAAUAUGAUGAAUGUGUUAUCUUCAAAUCUUCUUCUUGAUAGGAUUUUCAAUUUUUAAUUCAAUAGCGAUUUUGAUUUUUCGAUUUUAAUUUGAUAAAUAUUUUUACGGAAUUCCUAUCUACCAAAAUAUUCACUUCUGUUUUCUUCAAAUUAAAGACAUAAGAGGACGGGCA